UUUGGUGGACAACUUGACAAGACACGUCUGAAGGCUCUGGAAAAAAAUUACCUUGUGUCGCACACAGGUGGGAUGGGCGGCACAUACCGUCGAUACAUAGCAGUAAUUACAGAAGUGAGACUGCAUCUCUCAGCAGUUAAGUAAGUCUCCUGUUGUGAAAUUAUAGUUCUCCAAACGAACAAGAAGGAAACAGCGGAUGUGACUUUCUUCAUUGGAGACUGUGCUUAAGUGACAUGAAGAGAGGGAAAGUCGUCCACAAAAUGGUUACAGACAAGAGCUCUCUAUCGAUUGUGUGGAUGAACCGAAGGGAAAACCUGCGGUCGUUAUUUUUGCCGAUAAAACAUUCCCGAUGCAGGUUGCAGAACCACACAAGCCGCCGCAGCUUUCCACUGAGUGUGUGGACGACCCGUUGGGACAACUUGCAGUCAUUGCAAUUGAAGAUAAAACAUUCCCAAUGGGGGGCUUUUGCUAACAGAGCGCUUAGAAUUGGAAUGAACGUCAUUCCAUGGAAAUUGAAGGACCCUCUUUUUAAUUGACUUUCUCCAGCGAGGAUCAAUAAUAAUUUAUAUUAUUUAAUCGUAGGGUGUACCCUACCUUCCGUCCGAGUGCAGCUGGGAUAUGCUCCAGCGCCCCGCGACUCCUAGAAGGACAAGCGGUAGAAAAUGGAUGGAUGGAUGUUGUAAAACCUGCACAAAGACUUCAAAAUGAAGUUUUGUGUAGAAUGUUGUAGAGUCAUUGCUUUCGGUUAUUACGAAUUCAACUGUGAAGGACUGACAGCAACACAUUCAGCUAUGCAGCGCCCCUGAGCUGCAAAACAUGGACAUAUAAGAUUUUAAAAUAUAUAUUUUUAAAAGGUAAGCUAUUUGAACAAAGGCCUUUACAGUAUUUGCAAAAAUGCAUUUUUUACAGCAUCUUGUUUGAUUUCCAAGAUGGCGCCGCUGUAGUAGCUGCUGUUGACAGGAGCUCUGUGCUCUUGUGUCAUCAUUUUGUGUUUCCCUCUUGUUUUCAUGUGUUAUUAUAUAUUUGUAUAUAUUUUUUUGCCUUUUGGUUCGGGACCCUUUGGGACUGUGUGACAAGGGGUGGCACUUUCGUGACUUCUGCUGUGCUUUUUUUGUGGACUUCUGGACUUGCCUCCCGGUAGCCUUUUGCCCAUAGACACCAGCUGCUGGGUCUCUGCCACACCAUAGUCCGUUUGGAGAGACUGGAGGAGAUGCAGAUUAAGAGACAGGGCUGCGGAGCUAGCACUGAGCGCCGGGACGGACAGGCUUCACAGUGUCUUGGCUGAAUGAGCAGGUUUUGGACACCUCAGUCUCUUUAGACGCGUCCUCGCUCAUCUAUGCGGACUGGACACUGGCCGAGAGUUAAUGGGCCGCCGAGAAUGGAGUCUGCUCUCUUGGUUGCUUUGUUGGGUCUGCUCCUGUCUCUGGCCAUGUUCCCUCCACCCCAGCAGACGAUGGCGUGGAACACCGCAGAGGCCACCACAGUGUAUAUGUUUCUUUUACUUUUUAUUCAUAGCUGUAUGUAGAAGUGGCUGGUUGAAUCAGCUCUGCUUUUUUAAUGUCUUUAAUGUCCUUUGUGUUCUUUGAUGUUUCCCACUUACACACAUGUAAGAGGGAUGUGUGCUAUGGCUAUGAGUUGUUUUUUCCCUUGGCCUCAGUCUGGACCCCCUCUCCAGGGGCCCAGGCUUAGACUGAUUUUUUUUCCCUCACCCCCCAAAUCCCCCCAUUGUUUACCUGUAUCUCACCUUUUUUGUAAGGGGUACCGGAAGUUGGCAGACCCGUCAGCGAUCCUGUUCUGUCUCCCUGUAAUGUUUGUCUGAUCUUGAAUGGGAUUGUGCUGAAAAUUUAAUAUCCCCUCAGGGGUUGAUAAAGUAUUUCUGAUGCUGAUUCUGAUUCAGAAGAGAGGAAUGAAUGCACUUUUAAAGUGUGUAUUCAUAUAAAAAAGGUAAGCGGUUUAAUUGAAGGAAGGUUAUUAUUUGCACUAAUGCAAUUUAAAAAUGUGUAUUAUAUCAAAAAGGUAAGGUGCUUGAAGAAAGGAAUAGACUUUUAAAUUUUGUAGUCAUAUUAAAUAAGUAAGCUUUUUAUUUGAAGGAAGGCCUUUAUUUGCACAAAUGCACUUUUAAAGUGCGUAUCAAUACAAA